rnacentral:rRNA from 1 species
UACGUAGGGUGCAAACGUUGUUCGGAAUUACUGGGCAUAAAGAGCACGUAGGUGGUCUGCUAAGUCACGUGUGAAAUCCCCCGGCUCAACCGGGGAAUUGCGCGUGAUACUGGCAGGCUCGAGGUGGGUAGGGGUGAGCGGAACUCCAGGUGGAGCGGUGAAAUGCGUAGAUAUCUGGAGGAACACCGGUGGCGAAAGCGGCUCACUGGACCCAAUCUGACACUGAGGUGCGAAAGCUAGGGUAGCAAACGGG